rnacentral:tRNA from 1 species
GAUAGAGUGGCUGAAUAAUAGGCAGUAAAUUGUAAAUUUAUUUAUGGUUUUAAAACCCUUUAUCA